rnacentral:rRNA from 1 species
AUUGAACGCUGGCGGCAGGCUUAACACAUGCAAGUCGAACGGGCUCUUCGGAGCCAGUGGCGCACGGGUGAGUAACGCGUAACUGACCUACCCCAAAAUCGCGGAUAACGAUUCGAAAGAAUCGCUAAUACGUGAUGUGCUGCUCCCUCGUGUGGGAUCAGUAAAGCUUGAUUGCUUUGGGAUGGGGUUGCGUUCCAUCAGCUAGUUGGUGGGGUAAAGGCCCACCAAGGCGACGACGGAUAGCCGGCCUGAGAGGGUGGCCGGCCACAGGGGCACUGAGACACGGGUCCCACUCCUACGGGAGGCAGCAGUUAGGAAUCUUCCACAAUGGGCGAAAGCCUGAUGGAGCGACGCCGCGUGAGGGAUGAAGGUCUUCGGAUCGUAAACCUCUGAAUCAGGGACGAAAGACACUUUAUGUGGGAUGACGGUACCUGAGUAAUAGCACCGGCUAACUCCGUGCCAGCAGCCGCCGUAAUAC